rnacentral:rRNA from 1 species
UACGAAGGGGGGCUAGCGUUGUUCGGAAUCACUGGGCGUAAAGCGCGCGCAGGCGGCUAUCCAAGUCAGUGGUGAAAGCCCGGAGCUCAACUCCGGAACUGCCAUUGAAACUGUUUAGCUUGAGGACGAGAGAGGUGAGUGGAAUUCCCAGUGUAGAGGUGAAAUUCGUAGAUAUUCGGAGGAACACCAGUGGCGAAGGCGGCUCACUGGCUCGAUACUGACGCUGAGGUGCGAAAGCGUGGGGAGCAAACAGG